rnacentral:tRNA from 1 species
GUGGGAGUAGCACAAUGGCAGUGCGCUAGACUGUGGAUCUAGUCGUUGCGGGUUCGAGUCCCGUCUUCCACC